rnacentral:rRNA from 1 species
CCUACGGGGGGCAGCAGUGAGGAAUAUUGGUCAAUGGUCGGGAGACUGAACCAGCCAAGCCGCGUGAGGGAGGAAGGUACAGAGUAUCGUAAACCUCUUUUGUCAGGGAACAAAGUCGGGGACGUGUCCCCGGAUGAGUGUACCUGAAGAAAAAGCAUCGGCUAACUCCGUGCCAGCAGCCGCGGUAAUACGGAGGAUGCGAGCGUUAUCCGGAUUUAUUGGGUUUAAAGGGUGCGCAGGGGGGCUGUUAAGUCAGGGGGUAAAGCCCGGGGCUCAACCCCGGGCCCGCAUUUGAUACUGGCAGUCUCGAGUAGGAGAGAAGUAUGCGGAAUGCGCGGUGUAGCGGUGAAAUGCAUAGAUAUCGCGAAGAACUCCGAUUGCGAAGGCAGCAUGCCGGCUCCACACUGACGCUGAGGCACGAAAGCGUGGGUAUCGAACAGGAUUAGAUACCCGAGUAGUC